UGUUUAGAUUGGCAAUGAAAAUUUUUUGGGUGUCACAUCGAAUGUGUCGAAAGGAUGUUGGAAGGGUUUUUUAGAAACUAAUAAAAAAACAAAUUACAUAGCUCGUCAGAAAACUUCAAGACAAAUUUAUUAAACAUAAUUAAUCUGUCAUUAGCAUAUGUGGGUUACUGUAGCACUUAAGGCUAAUCAUGGAGUAACUAGGCUUAAAAGUUUCGUCUCGCGAUUCUCAACUAAACUGUGUAAUUAGUUUAUUUUUUUAUCUACAUUUAAUGUUCCAUGCA
rnacentral:lncRNA from 1 species